UCGUGGCCUAGGAGUUCACAUUUUCUAGGCCAGCACUUAUUCCUUGGUUUUUU
rnacentral:sRNA from 1 species